rnacentral:rRNA from 1 species
GAUGAACGCUGGCGGCGUGCUUAAUACAUGCAAGUCGAACGGACAGACCAUGAUCUUGUUCCUUUCUCGUUAGCCGAGGACGUGUGAGAAACACGUGUAUAACCUACUUAUAUUUCGGGUAUAUUUUCGGAAAACCGGCUCUAAUAGCGGAUAAUAUAUUGCUCCAUGUGGUGCGAUAGUGAAUGUCGGCUUUUCUGUCAGUACUAGCUGGAUCCGCGCCGCAUUAGCUAGUUGGUAAGGUAACGGCUUUUCAAGGCAACGAUGCGUAGCCGACUUGAGAGGGUGAUCGGCCACACUGGAACUGAGACACGGUCCAGACUCCUACGGGAGGCAGCAGUAGGGAAUCUUCCGCAAUGGGCGAAAGCCUGACGGAGCAACGCCGCGUGAGUGAUGAAGGUCUUCGGAUCGUAAAACUCUGUUAUUAGGGAAGAACAAAUGUGUAAGUAACUAUGCACGUAUUGACGGUACCUAAUCAGAAAGCCACGGCUAACUACGUG